GUCUGAGCUUUGCGUUUCUUAGCGGAGUUAUGUUUCGGCGAAUGCCUCCACAUUUCUGAGCUUCACAGGUUCUUUAUCCCUUUACUUGUUUAUCCUCUGGUGCUGCUGUCUGAUCUGCUCCACUCUGCAGCGUUUUCCCCUGUGCUUAGCUGCCAUGGUGAUGGGUGACUUGGACAUGCCAUAAAUAGACAAACUAGCAGGGCUUUCAUUGAGGCUGAGCAUGAGGACAGUCCUCUGGCUUAGUGCUCCCAGCUUCUGCUUGUGUGUGUGGAAACUGCCACUGGAGGCUCUUGCCUACAGAGCCAAUGUGGCAAACACCACCUGCAAGGGUACGAGAGCUUUUACUGCGAGGGCUGGAGACAAGGAACAGCAUACUGGAUUCUGGUCAGCCUGAAGCUGAGGGGUUUACCUCCUCAGCCCAGUUCCAGGCAACAUUUUGCAAAACGGGCACAUCUCCACAAGGAUUCAGCUCAGUAGGGAAGUGCCACUGCUGGUGUCUCUGUAUCCCUUCAAAGUGGAGACAGCGUCAUUGAACCGGUGGUGUUUGUGGUCUCAGAGCUGAGGUGAGCACAACCACCUCUUUGUGAGCACGCCCCAGGAGUUUCUGAAAUCCUCCUCAUGUGUGAAAUGUGUGCCAGGCUCUGGGGCAGACGAGUCCCUCUCCAAGAGGCCAGGGAAGGAUGCUCCCUGUGUUCCUGCAGGUCAUGAAAUAACAGAGGGAUUGCAGCUUAAAGCUGCUGCUGAAGCUUGUGCCUUUUUGUGAGACAAUACGUGAGGAGCAGAAAUGGUCUGUGAAGAGAAAAUUAAACCAGAGAUAAAGCAAGGCAAGGAGUGCAAGAAUAAAUAUUGAAA